ensembl:lncRNA
UUCCUUUCAAGGAUUUUCCUCAAAAUUCUUGAUCUCAGUGAGAGCACUGAUAAUCUGUGAGUUAUCUGGGCUCUCAAAAUGCAGAAAAGAAUCAAAAAAGAUUUAGAAGAAAACACUGGCCCAUUUUCCUGAGAAAUCAGCCAGCCUGAUUUGUUCACUGGUUAAAGAGUAACAGCAACCGCACUAAACCCCAGAAUGGUCAGUGCAAUUAAUGCAAUUAAAGUAAUUAGUCCUGGCAGCUGUAAGGUCAAAUAGAGGUAACUUUGUAACAACAAUCUGCCACUGCAAAAUUACUGACAUUUCCAACUAAAUUAUAUUCUCUAAAUUGUUGCCUUAAUGCUAAAUAAAUAAAGUUAUGCUAAUGUAGGGACUGAUUACAGAUUGAAAUUAGCACAAUUGCUUGUUAUACAGUCUGCUAGGGUUAACGUUUUUUAAAAACAUAAUUAAUGGCCUUUGCUUACUGUCUCUGGUUAUAGAUCCUGCAGCUCAUUUGCAUUCUUUUGCAAUAUGCUGACAGUGCUAAAUGUCUCAGAAGAAAGAUCUCAUCUGGAGGCGGAAAAUGCGUUUUGCACGUCAUCCAGCUAACACUUGUUAUGGUUCCAGGCCAGCGUUAAUAACAAAGAUGACCAGAAAGAGAAUGGAUCAGAAUGAAGCUGGAAUCCGUUUUUGCCCUUCAGUCUCGUGAUCCAAGCCUUUUCUGGAGUCAAUGUGAAAUGUAAUUGCUCUUUUGACCUCUAUCUUCUCUCUCCCCAGGUCUGAGGAAGAGCUACACUGGUUGAUUAUUGCAGGAAUGAAAGGCACUCUGACCUUGUCGACCGAACGCCUUGCAGCUUUCAAUGUUGCCCAUUAUACCGCAAGCAGGCAACUCCUGGAGAGCUGCUCCCUGGGCAACCUGCCAGAAAAGGCUCCGGCGGCAGCAGUUCAGACGCGGCCAAACAGCUCAGGCAGCAAAGGAAACAGCUUCCCCAGAGGAAUCCUGCCCAGCAGCCUGAGAGCAGGACCAGCGCCAUUCUUCAGCUUCAACCUCAUGUGCCUGCCUGGAGGUGUCUUUAAAAGAAUGGAGAAAGGCUUCUGGAAAAGAUUGUCGUCGGGCACCAGUGAAGGCUGCUCCAGUUCCUGGCGUAUCUAA